AUUGAACGCUGGCGGCAGGCCUAACACAUGCAAGUCGAACGAGUGGCGGACGGGUGAGUAAUGUCUGGGAAACUGCCUGAUGGAGGUGGAUAACUACUGGAAACGGUAGCUAAUACCGCAUACCAUCGGCUGUGCCCAGAUGGGAUUAGCUAGUAGGUGGGGUAAAGGCUCACCUAGGCGACGAUCCCUAGCUGGUCUGAGAGGAUGACAAGCAACACUGGAAAUGUGAAACGGUCCAGACGCCUACGGAGGGAAAGAGGGGGGAAAAUGGUAGAAGUGGGGCAAGCCUGGUGCAGACAUGCCGCGUGUAUGAAGAGGGCCUUCGGGUGGUAAAGUACUUUCAGCUGGCAGACGGUACCCGAAGAAGAAGCACCGGCGAACUCCGCGGAAGCAGCCGCGGUAAUUC
rnacentral:rRNA from 1 species